rnacentral:rRNA from 1 species
GACAGAGGGUGCGAACGUUGUUCGGAAUUACUGGGCGUAAAGCGAGUGUAGGCGGUUUGGUUAGUCGGAUGUGAAAGCCCCGGGCUCAACCCGGGAAGUGCACUCGAUACUGCCAAGCUAGAGUAUCGGAGAGGUUGGUGGAAUUCUCGGUGUAGAGGUGAAAUUCGUAGAUAUCGAGAGGAACACCGGCGGCGAAGGCGGCCAACUGGACGAAUACUGACGCUGAGACUCGAAAGCGUGGGGAGCAAACAGG